GGAACUGUGAGACAGGUGCUGCAUGGCUGUCGUCAGCUCGUGUUGUGAAAUGUUGGGUUAAGUCCCGCAACGAGCGCAACCCUUAUCCUUUGUUGCCAGCGGUUAGGCCGGGAACUCAAAGGAGACUGCCAGUGAUAAACUGGAGGAAGGUGGGGAUGACGUCAAGUCAUCAUGGCCCUUACGACCAGGGCUACACACGUGCUACAAUG
rnacentral:rRNA from 1 species